rnacentral:rRNA from 2 species
GGGUUGUGAGGUUAAGCGACUAAGCGUACACGGUGGAUGCCCUGGCAGUCAGAGGCGAUGAAGGACGUGCUAAUCUGCGAUAAGCGUCGGUAAGGUGAUAUGAACCGUUAUAACCGGCGAUUUCCGAAUGGGGAAACCCAGUGUGAUUCGUCACACUAUCAUUAAC